GGGGACGUAGCAUAACCUGGCUAGUGUUGCCGGCUCCAACCCGGUAGGUGGGGGUUCAAAUCCCUCCGUCCUCA
rnacentral:tRNA from 1 species